UUCUUUAUCACCGAGUGCUUGCACUCACCGGUCAAGGGUUGAGUGGCGAACGGGUGAGUAACACGUGGGCAACCUGCCCAAAAGAGGGGGAUAACACUUGGAAACAGGUGCUAAUACCGCAUAACCAUAGUUACCGCAUGGUAGCUAUGUAAAAGGUGGCUAUGCUACCGCUUUUGGAUGGGCCCGCGGCGCAUUAGCUAGUUGGUGGGGUAAAGGCUUACCAAGGCAAUGAUGCGUAGCCGAACUGAGAGGUUGAUCGGCCACAUUGGGACUGAGACACGGCCCAAACUCCUACGGGAGGCAGCAGUAGGGAAUCUUCCACAAUGGGCGAAAGCCUGAUGGAGCAACGCCGCGUGGGUGAAGAAGGUCUUCGGAUCGUAAAACCCUGUUGUUAGAGAAGAAAGUGCGUGAGAGUAACUGUUCACGUUUCGACGGUAUCUAACCAGAAAGCCACGGCUAACUACGUGCCAGCAGCCGCGGUAAUACGUAGGUGGCAAGCGUUAUCCGGAUUUAUUGGGCGUAAAGGGAACGCAGGCGGUCUUUUAAGUCUGAUGUGAAAGCCUUCGGCUUAACCGGAGUAGUGCAUUGGAAACUGGGAGACUUGAGUGCAGAAGAGGAGAGUGGAACUCCAUGUGUAGCGGUGAAAUGCGUAGAUAUAUGGAAGAACACCAGUGGCGAAAGCGGCUCUCUGGUCUGUAACUGACGCUGAGGUUCGAAAGCGUGGGUAGCAAACAGGAUUAGAUACCCUGGUAGUCCACGCCGUAAACG
rnacentral:rRNA from 1 species